AGAACCCAGUAGCUCCAUACUAGAUGAAAGCAAAAACCAUCAGAACUCCACACAUACCUGUAUUUAAUAAAGAUGUAGCACCUGAAUUACAUUAGAUGUCUGGAUCUUGUUGAAACCUGCUCCCAAGUCUGCUUUCCUUCAGUAAUCAGUGAGAGACCAGUGGGAAUAAGCAGGAGUGAUAUGCUUCCCUUCCUUCCUCUGGGUGCUUCCACUAGACAGCAAAUCUUCAUUCCACCUAAUCCACAUUUAUAGCAUCUAAAGAACUCUCUCCCAGAAGACAAGAAAAAAAAUACACAAAAACUUCUAUAAGAUGUUUCAGGGUCCACAUCCAGCCCAACAGUCAAGGUAAGUUGCUAAUCAAAUGUCAUGGUUUAAUAAUUUUGUAAUUUUGCUAUCAGUAUUCCAC
rnacentral:lncRNA from 1 species